CCUACGGGGGGCAGCAGUGGGGAAUAUUGGGCAAUGGAGGCAACUCUGACCCAGCAACGCCGCGUGAGCGAUGAAGGUCUUCGGAUUGUAAAGCUCUUUAAGCGGGGACGAAGAAAGUGACUGUACCCGCAGAAUAAGCCUCGGCUAACUCCGUGCCAGCAGCCGCGGUAAUACGUAGGAGGCAAGCGUUAUCCGGAAUGACUGGGCGUAAGGGGUGCGUAGGUGGUUUGGCAAGUUGGUAGUGUAAUCCCGGGGCUCAACCUCGGAAUUGCCUCUGAUACUGUUCGGCUAGAGAGUAGUUGCGGUAGGCGGAAUGUAUGGUGUAGCGGUGAAAUGCUUAGAGAUCAUACAGAACACCGAUUGCGAAGGCAGCUUACCAAGCUACUACUGACGUUGAGGCACGAAAGCGUGGGGAGCAAACAGGAUUAGAUACCCUUGUAGUC
rnacentral:rRNA from 1 species